GACGAGCGGCGGACGGGUGAGUAAUGCAUAGGAAUCUGCCCGAUAGUGGGGGAUAACCUGGGGAAACCCAGGCUAAUACCGCAUACGUCCUACGGGAGAAAGGGGGCUUCGGCUCUCGCUAUUGGAUGAGCCUAUGUCGGAUUAGCUAGUUGGUGAGGUAAUGGCUCACCAAGGCAACGAUCCGUAGCUGGUCUGAGAGGAUGAUCAGCCACAUCGGGACUGAGACACGGCCCGAACUCCUACGGGAGGCAGCAGUGGGGAAUAUUGGACAAUGGGCGAAAGCCUGAUCCAGCCAUGCCGCGUGUGUGAAGAAGGCCCUCGGGUUGUAAAGCACUUUCAGCGAGGAAGAACGCCUAGUGGUUAAUACCCAUUAGGAAAGACAUCACUCGCAGAAGAAGCACCGGCUAACUCCGUGCCAGCAGCCGCGGUAAUACGGAGGGUGCAAGCGUUAAUCGGAAUUACUGGGCGUAAAGCGCGCGUAGGUGGCUU
rnacentral:rRNA from 1 species